AGCGAACGCUGGCGGCAGGCCUAACACAUGCAAGUCGAACGGAUCCUUCGGGAUUAGUGGCGGACGGGUGAGUAACACGUGGGAACGUGCCCUUUGGUUCGGAACAACUCAGGGAAACUUGAGCUAAUACCGGAUGUGCCCUUCGGGGGAAAGAUUUAUCGCCAUUGGAGCGGCCCGCGUCUGAUUAGCUAGUUGGUGAGGUAAAGGCUCACCAAGGCUACGAUCAGUAGCUGGUCUGAGAGGAUGAUCAGCCACAUUGGGACUGAGACACGGCCCGAACUCCUACGGGAGGCAGCAGUGGGGAAUCUUGCGCAAUGGGCGAAAGCCUGACGCAGCCAUGCCGCGUGAAUGAUGAAGGUCUUAGGAUUGUAAAAUUCUUUCACCGGGGACGAUAACGACGGUACCCGGAGAAGAAGCCCCGGCUAACUUCGUGCCAGCAGCCGCAGUAAAAC
rnacentral:rRNA from 1 species